rnacentral:lncRNA from 1 species
AAAUAAAUAAAAUCUUUAAAAGAAAAAACAUUUUAAGCAGUAGGAAACACAGAAUGAUUUAUUGUGAACAUAUUGUCCAACUACAUCCCAAGGGUAACACUUAAGUAGUCUCUAAUUUACUCCCUUCAUUAAGAUCUUCAGAUAUGCAUCAGGUGAGGCCAUGCCAUUUCUGAAGACUUUCCUGAAGACUGGUUUCAGCAGGAGAGCACAUAGUUGCAGUGGACUACCUGGUAGUGUUCACAGUAGUGUCUGGGCUGAUGGAUUCCAGGUAGCUCCAACAUUGCCAGCAGGUCUCUCUGGUCUGCACUGUGUCCUGUGCUGAAAUUCCGGCUGCUUGGCAGGAACCCUUGGUUACUUCUUGCUUUCUGAAUCUGUUUCUUCAGCUUUGACCCAGCUUGGUGAGUCCUCAAUUUUUUCCCUAAAUUACCUUUGUGCUUAAAAUAGCCAGAUUUAUGUUUUUGUAGCUUCAACCAAAAAUUCAGCUAUUUAAAUCCAAAAGAUAAUUUUAAUUCUUAAACUUAAAACAAAUAGUUCCUUGCCAAACUUGAACAUUUUAUUUUAUGCUAAGAGGUCUUUAAAAUUUUAAAACAUUUAUUUGUUUAUUUUUUAUUAAUAUAAGAUUCUAUAUAGUUCACAGAUACAAUUCUAAGACUGUAAGGAUACUGGCCAGUGCCGCGGCUCACUAGGCUAAUCCUCUGCCUACUGUGCCGGCAUACCAGGUUCUAGUCCCGGUCAGGGCACUGGAUUCUGUCCCGGUUGCCCCUCUUCCAGGCCAGCUCUCUGCUGUGGCCCGGGAGUGCAGUGGAGGAUGUCCCAAGUGCUUGGGCCCUGCACCCCAUGGGAGACCAGGAGAAGCACCUGGCUCCUGGCUUCAGAUCGCCCGCCGGCCGCGGUAGCCAUUGGAGGGUGAACCAAUGGCAAAGGAAGACCUUUCUCUCUGCCUCUCUCUCUCACUGUCCACUCUGCCUGUAAAUAAAUAAAUAAAUAAAUAAAAAGAAUAUAAGGAU